AAUGACAGUUAAUUAAUACAGCAGCAGUUUAAGGUGGUCCAAGUACUCCAAGAUGUUGGGUGAGAGAAGCUCAUGCCAGGUAAAGUCACUAACUAGGUGAGACAGCCAGGAAGAGUUUGGGAUUCACAACGGCAGCACCUACGACAGAGAUACUGCCCUUCAUCAAACCACUGGGGCAAGAUGAUUCAUUGAAAUGUUACCCUGUGCUCAUUUGGUUUACAUUUGCUCCUCCCCUGGCUCUUUCAAGCAGAGAGUGAGUCCCUUGGUGUUUCCUUGCCUUGGGUAUUUCUGGUGGUCAGAGCAUAAAAGCUAUCGGAAGUUGGUGGGUCUUUCUGUCUUUUGCAAUAAUCUUGACCUAAAUUUUUUUUUAAAUUUCUUAAUUAUUUUUAGAGACAGGGUCUCACUCUGCCACCCAGGCUGGAGUGCAAUGGUGUGAUCAUAGCUCACUGAAGCCUCCAACUCCUGAGCUCAGGUGAUCCUCCCGCCUAAGCCUCCAGAGUAGCUGAGACUACAAGUGCUCACCACCAUGCCCGGCUAAUUUUUCUUUUUUGUAGAGACAGAGAUCUCGCUAUGUUGCCCAGGCUUGUCUCGAACUCCUGGCCUCAGGUGAUCUUCCCUUCUCAGCCUCUCAAAGUAUUAGGAUUAUAGGUGUGAGCCACUGCACCCAGCCUUCGUUGACUCUUUAUAGAGACUCUGUAAGGUGUCCUGGAAAGAGAAGAAAGAAAGGGUGGGCCUAUGAUUUUUUGUUUUUUGAGAUAGAGUCUUGCUCCGUCGCCCAGGCUGGAGUAUGGUGACAUGAUCAGGGCUCACUGCAACCUCCAUCUCCUGGGCUCGGGUGAUCCUUCCACCUCAGCCUCUGGAGUAGCUGGAACUAUAGGUGCAUGCCACCAUGCCUGGCCAAUGUUUUGUAUUUUUAGUAGAGAUGGGGUUUCACCAUGUUGCCCAGGCUGGUCUCAAACUCCUAGUGCUGGGAUUACAGAUGUGAGUCACUGCACCAGGCCAAGGGUGGGCCUUUGAGAGCAGGAAGAAGGGAGAGGAAAAGAUUUUUACCCCAGAAGGGAAAGGGGCAGAGUGUGACUAGGGCUGGGGGUAGGGAGGAAAGGUCUCAAACCUUGACUCUAGGCAGUGUCCAAAGGUGACAAGGCCUUAGAGGACAUGGCUGCCUGGUACACUCAGGGAGAGUGGAUCUGAGCACAGAGCUUUCGCCCCUCCCUCACAAUUCCCACAUUCCAAGGGUGACUCCAAAUCAGCAGAGCCACCAAGCCUGAGGUGCCACAAGGCUGGGAUGAUGGAUGUUCUGCAUUUGCUAGUGUGACCAGUGGAGCCAGCCUGACGCCUCAGCACUGCCUAAGACCCUGGGACCUUGGCAAAAUCUUGAGAAUGGGGGAGGGAGACUCAACGAUAUGCCUGAGAUUGAAUUUCUUGCCAGCUCAGUGGGAUAGUGGCUUAGAGUCAGAUUUAAAUUGAAUUAGAAAAAAUCAAGAAACAGGCCAAACCACUCCAGCCUUGCAAUCCCUCGGGCUAUCCCUAGCCACACCCCUUACUCUCAUGCUCACCAACAAGCAGUGCCUACCACCACUGGAUGCCCCAUGUGACCCAUAGCUGAGGAUCUUUAUACACCCUCUCCCCAGGAGUGGGCAUCCACUUGUGUUUCCCUGGACAGGGAGCUUCCAAUCUUCCAUCCUGAGGUCCUGCUAGAAUGGGCUGUUAGAAUAUUCCCUCACUAGAUAGAGGGGUGGGGAAGCAGGAGUCCAGUUUCAGAAGCAGGGAAGGGACUACAGUCAUAGCGAGUGGUGGACACGUGGCGGAGGGUGGGACACCCUUUCACAAAGUGGCCCAUCACACCACAACACAGUAUGGGACAGGGCUGGCUUCUCUUCAGCUCUGGCAUGGCCAGGGAGGGUACCUACCUGGGGUCCAGCUGCCCCCCCGAGCCUGUCUAUCAGCCAUUGUACACCAGGCCAGUCCAUGAUGGGGUUCACCCAGGAUGAGACCUGGACAGCAGCUGAGCCAUGCAGAGCAAGUGGGUGGUUAAGAGGCAGAUGGUCCAGUUGGUGCUUUCAGGCAAAGUGCCAGCUCCUCAUCAUGGCUCAUGAGGAUGCUUAGAUCCAGCCCCUGAUGACCCCCUAUUUCACCUCUAGCCAUUUCCUAGCACAGCGCCUCCUCUGUCCUAGCUCCAGCCUCACUGAGCUGCUUUCAGUCCCUUGAAGGAGUUGCACUCUCCUUCCUCUCGGCUCUUCCACAGGCUGCUCCAGACGCUUGACCACUCCUUUCUUUCAUGUACCUAAUUCCUACUCAUCCCUCAGGACCCAAUGUGGCUGUCUUCUCUAGGAAGCCAUCUGAACUUAUAAGUUGAGUUAGGAGUCUGUUCUGGACCUCCCACAGCACCCUGAUUCUCCUGUCUUGGCCCCUGUCAUACCUUGUGAAGUCUUGUUUAAUCAUCUAUCUCAUACAUGUCAGUAUGCUUCUGGGGGAAGGAAAUGUGUCCAUCUUGUUUAAAACAGUAUCUUUAGGGCUUGAUGUCUAGUGAGGGAGGAAGGGAAGGGGAAGGAAACGAUAAGGGCAUGGGAAGGAAGGAUGGAAGGAAGGAGGGAAGGAAGAAGAAAAGAAGAGAAACAGGGAAGGAGGCAAGGAAGACAUUGAAGGAAGAUUGCCCACUCCUUUCAGGGCACUCAUUGCCCCAACAGAUCUUCCCAGCAGGAGCAGCUGCACAGAGAUCACCUAUUCCUUCCUCUCACUCAGUAGGAGACAUGCUCUUUAUUGGUUA
rnacentral:lncRNA from 10 species